AUGAAAGAGGGAGGAGGGGCCAUGUGCCCGCCGCCUUGUCACCGACGAAGCAGGAGGCUUGUGGCCACCGCCACACCGCCAGAGGAGGGGACCUGCGAUCUACUAGAUUACGUACCAAAAAGUGGUUGGAGGCAUGGAAGUCGUGUGAGAAGUGCACGGGAGAGAGGAACAUGGUUGAUAAACAUGGAACCAUGCCAAAAACGUGGGCACAGAAGAAACAAUGACCAUUGGACAUCUGAAGAGGUGAAAGAAUUAGUGGAUGGCAUAUCUGCAUAUGGUGCUAGCCAAUGGGCUAAGUUGAAGAACGAAAGGUUUCGAAUAUCAGCUCGAACGGCGGAGCAUCUUAAGGAUAAGUGGAGAAACCUAGUGAAAGCCUUCACGGGAAAUGUGAAAAGAAGGAACUCGCCUCGUCUAGAUAGGGAUUGCAUUGAAAAGAACGAGAGGCUUGCAGCUGAUUACCCUCGAAAAUGA
rnacentral:rRNA from 1 species